CGGUUUAUGUUGUAUACCAUACUUCCUUAUUACCUUGUUCAGGCCCGAUUCUUGGGAGGUGCUGAGUGUGCUAGUGCACCG